CAGCUUUGUAUCAUUAGAAACCCAGUCAUAUUUUUGAAUGGUCGUGUAUCAUUCCCUCAUCGGGACCGCCUGUCCCGGACGAGGAGCCCGGACCGCCUCGAGCUGGCGGACUGCUGGUGUCUGUGCUCUCGCUGUGCGCCUACGGACACACGGACGUCUGACUGUAAAGUGUUUCUGUCUUAUAACAACGUGGCAUACAAUAUCGCCUAACAGCCUUUCUGCAAUGGGUCCUGCAAGGCGAGAGAUUGGGUGGAGGCGUUGUUUUACCCGCUGAUGUGGUUCAGGCUCUCCGACAGUAUCCAGCUCCAGAUGGCCAGUACUGCGGCACCGAGACGUUGAGGACGCUCAGGAGGAAUUAUAACUGUCAUUGUUUACAUAUUUAUUGUUGUUGUUGUUGAUAUAUUUCUGUAAAUAAAUGGUUUACAUUCA